GAUGAACGCUGGCGGCGUGCCUAAUACAUGCAAGUCGAGCGAACAGACGAGGAGCUUGCUCCUCUGACGUUAGCGGCGGACGGGUGAGUAACACGUGGAUAACCUACCUAUAAGACUGGGAUAACUUCGGGAAACCGGAGCUAAUACCGGAUGAUAUAUUGAACCGCAGGGUUCAAUAGUGAAAGACGGUGUUGCUGUCACUUAUAGAGGGAUCCGCGCCGCAUUAGCUAGUUGGUAAGGUAACGGCUUACCAAGGCUACGAUGCGUAGCCGACCGGAGAGGGGGAUCGGCGACACUGGAACGGAGACACGGUCCAGACUCCUACGGGAGGCAGCAGUAGGGAAUCGUCGGCAAUGGGCGAAAGCCUGACGGAGCAACGCCGCGUGAGUGAUGAAGGUCUUCGGAUCGUAAAACUCUGUUAUUAGGGAAGAACAAAUGUGUAAGUAACUAUGCACGUCUUGACGGUACCUAAUCAGAAAGCAACGGCUAACUACGUG
rnacentral:rRNA from 1 species